rnacentral:misc_RNA from 1 species
AAAAAAUAUUAUUGGCAAAACAUGAAAGAAAGUUUGAAUUGACCAAGCAUUUAUGUGUGGCUCAUACACAAGAUGCUCAUCUAUGGUAAACCAGAAAAAGGCAAAAGGUGAAAACAGUUGCAAGCAAAGAAACAGGAACCUCCAAAUUAGAGCAGUAGCUGAACAAGCUAACACUAAGAUGAAAUGGAAGAGAGACAUUAGUUGCAGUGAGCCUUUCAAAGGCCAGCAGCCUAAAAAUCAAGAAAUUAAAUGCCCACAUAUGAUCAUCUACUAAGGCAAAGCCAGAAAA